UAACAGAUCGGGAUUAAGGAUAUCAGAUUCUAAAGUUUUCAGCUCUGAAGGAAUAACUGAAAUGAAGAGAUUAAACAUUAAUCCUCAGAUUAAAGGUCUGAGAGCUCCAGUCUAUCCGUGAUACUGAACCAGGACCCAUCCAGACACACUACUCAGGGUCCAUAUAGAGACACUGAAUAUCUAAUAAUGUGAAUCUUAGCUAACCUAGUACAUAAAUGCCAGUAAACUUUGCACAAUUGUGUUUGCUGGGAAAAUCAGAUUUGCACAGUGGUAAUUU